ACAAUGAAGAGUUUGAUCCUGGCUCAGGAUGAACGCUAGCUACAGGCUUAACACAUGCAAGUCGAGGGGCAGCAUUUCAGUUUGCUUGCAAACUGGAGAUGGCGACCGGCGCACGGGUGAGUAACACGUAUCCAACCUGCCGAUAACUCGGGGAUAGCCUUUCGAAAGAAAGAUUAAUACCCGAUGGUAUAAUCAGACCGCAUGGUCUUGUUAUUAAAGAAUUUCGGUUAUCGAUGGGGAUGCGUUCCAUUAGGCAGUUGGUGAGGUAACGGCUCACCAAACCUUCGAUGGAUAGGGGUUCUGAGAGGAAGGUCCCCACAUUGGAACUGAGACACGGUCCAAACUCCUACGGGAGGCAGCAGUGAGGAAUAUUGGUCAAUGGGCGCAGGCCUGAACCAGCCAAGUAGCGUGAAGGAUGACUGCCCUAUGGGUUGUAAACUUCUUUUAUAUGGGAAUAAAGUUUUCCACGUGUGGAAUUUUGUAUGUACCAUAUGAAUAAGGAUCGGCUAACUCCGUGCCAGCAGCCGCGGUAAUACGGAGGAUCCGGAGCGUUAUCCGGAUUUAUUGGGUUUAAAGGGAGCGUAGGUGGACAGUUAAGUCAGUUGUGAAAGUUUGCGGCUCAACCGUAAAAUUGCAGUUGAUACUGGCUGUCUUGAGUACAGUAGAGGUGGGCGGAAUUCGUGGUGUAGCGGUGAAAUGCUUAGAUAUCACGAAGAACUCCGAUUGCGAAGGCAGCUCACUGGACUGCAACUGACACUGAUGCUCGAAAGUGUGGGUAUCAAACAGGAUUAGAUACCCUGGUAGUCCACACAGUAAACGAUGAAUACUCGCUGUUUGCGAUAUACAGUAAGCGGCCAAGCGAAAGCAUUAAGUAUUCCACCUGGGGAGUACGCCGGCAACGGUGAAACUCAAAGGAAUUGACGGGGCCCGCACAAGCGGAGGAACAUGUGGUUUAAUUCGAUGAUACGCGAGUAACCUUACCCGGGCUUAAAUUGCAUUUGAAUAUAUUGGAAACAGUAUAGCCGUAAGGCAAAUGUGAAGGUGCUGCAUGGUUGUCGUCAGCUCGUGCCGUGAGGUGUCGGCUUAAGUGCCAUAACGAGCGCAACCCUUAUCUUUAGUUACUAACAGGUCAUGCUGAGGACUCUAGAGAGACUGCCGUCGUAAGAUGUGAGGAAGGUGGGGAUGACGUCAAAUCAGCACGGCCCUUACGUCCGGGGCUACACACGUGUUACAAUGGGGGGUACAGAAGGCAGCUACCUGGUGACAGGAUGCUAAUCCCAAAAGCCUCUCUCAGUUCGGAUCGAAGUCUGCAACCCGACUUCGUGAAGCUGGAUUCGCUAGUAAUCGCGCAUCAGCCAUGGCGCGGUGAAUACGUUCCCGGGCCUUGUACACACCGCCCGUCAAGCCAUGAAAGCCGGGGCAUCCUGAAGUACGUAACCGCAAGGAGCGUCCUAGGGUAAAACUGGUAAUUGGGGCUAAGUCGUAACAAGGUAGCCGUACCGGAAGGUGCGGCUGGAACACCUCCUUU
rnacentral:rRNA from 1 species